UCUAUAGAGAUUGGAAAUAAAAAAAGUUUAGAGGGAGUGAGAGGAAAAUGAGUUUCCGCGUAGACAGAUAGAGACUGAAAGGGUCUGUAUUGAAGAAGAAGAGAGAGACAGAGAGAUUUGAUUUCGUUUUCUACAUCUAAACGAUUAUAGCAAAAACGAUCUCUUUGACACCUAAGCUAAAGAAGAAAUAAAAAUUUCUUUUCUUUCCUUUCAUCUUGUUGAUUCACACUUCCUUUUCUGUUCACACCACUUCGUAUAAAUCUUUCAUCUUCUUUCUCUCUUCAUCUUUUUCCUUUCGAUCCCUCUUAUCUAUCUAUCUAUCUUUUUGGUGGGUGAGAUCUUGUUUUGUCUCAAUUAUUUGUUGUUGCUUUGUAUUUGUUUGUGUAAUGGAAGGAUAUCUUCAUCAGCAUCAUCACAUCAGUGUUAACGUUGAUACUGAUAGGUUUCCUCAAUGGAGUAUCCAAGAAACGAAGGAAUUCUUGAUGAUCCGAGCAGGACUGGAUCAAACUUUCAUGGAGACCAAAAGAAACAAGCUUCUUUGGGAAGUGGUAGCUAACAAAAUGAAGGAAAAGGGUUUUCAUCGCAGCUCAGAGCAGUGCAAGUGCAAGUGGAAAAACCUCGUUACCCGAUACAAGGGAUGUGAGACGAUGGAAUCUGAAUCUUUGCGACAACAAUUUCCAUUUUAUAAUGAGUUGCAAGAGAUUUUCGCAGCAAGGAUGCACAGAAUGUUAUGGGCUGAAGCAGAAGGAGCAGCAUCUGGGUCCAAAAAGAAAGCGGUGCAGCUAUCUUCGGACGAGGAAGACGAUAACGAAGAAAGUGAUGAAGAGAAAGUAAGCAUUAGAAAGAAGAAAAAGGGCAAAAAAACUGCGAAUAUUGGGGGAGACGGUAGUAGCAGUGGAAAUAAUAAUAACUUAAGGGAUAUUUUGGAGGACUUCAUGAAGCAACAGAUGCAAAUGGAAAUGCAAUGGAGAGAAGCGUUUGAAGCUCGUGAAAAUGAUAGGAGGAUAAAGGAGAUGGAGUGGAGAAAGACGAUGGAAGCAUUAGAGAAUGAGAGGAUAAUGAUGGAUAGGAGGUGGAGAGAGCGAGAAGAGCAAAGAAGAAUUAGAGAAGAAGCUAGGGGGGAGAAGAGGGACGCAUUAAUCACAGCACUUCUAAACAAGCUCAGAAGAGAAGAAAUUUAAAUCAAGCAUUUAAUGUGUUUUUCUCUUGUUUUGAAGAAGAAGGAAAGCUUUGAGAGAGAUAGAGAGAGAGAGGUAUCACAAAGUGGUGACCUGGUGGGUAAAGGGAAAAGAUAAUGCUUAUGAAAGCAUAUGCAACGCAAUAGGCUCAUCGUGGUGCACAUUAUUUGUGGUGUUAAUGGUCCAUUCUCGCUAAUGCCUCUCAACUUCAUGAACAAGUAUUUAUAUAGCUAGAUCAUGAGCCAUCAUCAAAUAUGCAACUUCCUAGUUCCUACAUGCAACUACCCGUCUGAACAAGUUGUCAUCAAAUUCAACCAAGAAUAUAUAGAAGAAGCACAACUAGCAAUUUCCUUUAGAAAUCCAAGAUUAUAUAAAAAUCAUGCCAAUGGUUAGUGAUCGAUGUUGGUAUCAGCUUUUGCCAUCAGGAUGAGUUCGGACAAAACCAACAAGGUAGAAGCUUUUUCUUUUGGUUGGUAGAAGAUUUUCUAAGAGGAAAACAGGCUGUUACGUUGAGCUUACAAAUUUUCUGCAGGGGAAGCAGUAAUUUGGAAGAAAGGUGUCAUCAACUUUGAAUAUGUAUAUCAGUCGGUGAUAGAGCUCUAGAAAUAUAUAUAGCUGCCAGAAGAGAGAGGUGUCAAGGAUUAGAAUUGAAAGGAAUUGUUUUGAAAUCUGUAUAAUUAAUUUUAUAAGGGUAGAAAGAGGGUUUAUAUAAGAGUUUACACAUAAAAACAGAAUAAAGAAUAGUCUACGAGCACAAUCCAUUUGAAUUUUCAAGGAUAAGGGAUAAAGAUAUCCUAGUUAUCCCAACAAGAGGUUCCGUAUAGGAGGAGAAUUGGAGGUGUUGAUACCUCUUUCAUGUUUUGUCCUAAUAAUUGAAAUCUUAUUGCCAUAAUAACAAAAUUUUCAACUUAAUUA